rnacentral:rRNA from 1 species
GAGUUUGAUUAUGGCUCAGGAUGAACGCUAGCGAUAGGCUUAACACAUGCAAGUCGAGGGGCAGCGAGGGUAGCAAUACCUGUCGGCGACCGGCGCACGGGUGAGUAACGCGUAUGUAACCUGCCCGCAACAGGGGGAUAACCCGGCGAAAGUCGGACUAAUACCGCAUAAAACAGGGGUCCCGCAUGGGAAUAUUUGUUAAAGAUUUAUCGGUUGCGGAUGGGCAUGCGUACCAUUAGGUAGUUGGUGAGGUAACGGCUCACCAAGCCUUCGAUGGUUAGGGGUUCUGAGAGGAAGGUCCCCCACACUGGUACUGAGACACGGACCAGACUCCUACGGGAGGCAGCAGUGAGGAAUAUUGGUCAAUGGGCGAGAGCCUGAACCAGCCAAGUCGCGUGAAGGAUGACUGCCCUAUGGGUUGUAAACUUCUUUUACAAGGGAAUAAAAUGAGAUACUGUGUAUUUU